rnacentral:rRNA from 1 species
GCCAGCCGCCGCGGUAAUACGGAGGGUGCAAGCGUUACUCGGAAUCACUGGGCGUAAAGGACGCGUAGGCUGGUUGUCAAGUCUGAUGUGAAAUCCUACAGCUCAACUGUAGAACUGCAUUGGAAACUGGCAACCUAGAGUAUGGGAGGGGGAGAUGGAAUUAGUGGUGUAGGGGUAAAAUCCGUAGAUAUCACUAGGAAUACCUAAAGCGAAGGCGAUCUCCUGGAACAUUACUGACGCUAAGGCGUGAAAGCGUGGGGAGCAAACGGGAUUAGAUACCCCGGUAGUCCACGCCCUAAACGAUGAACACUAGUCGUCGGGAUGCUUGUCAUCUCGGUGAUGCACUUAACAGAUUAAGUGUUCCGCCUGGGGAGUACGGUCGCAAGAUUAAAACUCAAAGAAAUUGACGG